AUUGAACGCUGGCGGCAUGCUUUACACAUGCAAGUCGAACGGCAGCGCGGGCUUCGGCCUGGCGGCGAGUGGCGAACGGGUGAGUAAUACAUCGGAACGUGCCCAGUAGUGGGGGAUAGCUCGGCGAAAGCCGGAUUAAUACCGCAUACGACCUGAGGGUGAAAGCGGGGGAUCUUCGGACCUCGCGCUAUUGGAGCGGCCGAUGGCAGAUUAGCUAGUUGGUGGGGUAAAGGCCUACCAAGGCGACGAUCUGUAGCUGGUCUGAGAGGACGACCAGCCACACUGGGACUGAGACACGGCCCAGACUCCUACGGGAGGCAGCAGUGGGGAAUUUUGGACAAAGGGCGAAAGCCUGAUCCAGCAAUGCCGCGUGUGUGAUGAAGGCCUUCGGGUUGUAAAGCACUUUUGGCGGGAACGAAAAGGAUUGUGCCAAUACCACGGUUCGAUGACGGUACCCGCAGAAUAAGCACCGGCUAACUACGUG
rnacentral:rRNA from 1 species